GACGGCGCCCUCUGGCGGCGGCGCACUGAAGCGGGCGGAGCCUCCCGGGAUGGCGGGCGAGUCGCCGCGCUUCCUGCAGGCGCUGCCGGCCGAGCGCGGACCCGAGGCGGUGCGGACGCGGGUGCAGGAGCAGGACUUACAGCAGUGGGGUCUGACAGGGAUUCGUCUACGCUCUUACCAACUGGAGGGAGUCAACUGGCUAGCCCAGUGCUUCCACUGCCAGAAUGGCUGCAUCCUGGGAGAUGAGAUGGGCCUGGGGAAGACCUGCCAGACUAUCGCUCUCCUCAUUUACUUGGUGGGAAGACUUAAUGAUGAGGGGCCAUUUCUGAUUCUUUGUCCCUUGUCUGUUUUGAGCAACUGGAAAGAAGAGUUGGAGAGAUUUGCUCCAGGUCUUUCCUGUGUGACGUACACAGGUGACAAGGAGGAAAGAGCCCGCCUUCAGCAAGACAUAAGGCAGGAGUCACGCUUUCAUGUGCUGUUGACUACCUAUGAGAUUUGCUUGAAAGAUGCCUCCUUCCUAAAAACCUUCUCUUGGAGUGUUCUGGCCGUGGACGAAGCUCACAGAUUGAAGAACCAGAGCUCCCUGCUACACAGGACUCUUUCAGAGUUCUCAGUGGUCUUCCGUCUCCUGCUCACUGGAACCCCCAUCCAGAACAGCCUUCAGGAACUCUACUCCCUCCUCAGUGUCGUGGAGCCUGACCUCUUCUGCAGGGAGCAGGUGGAAGAUUUUGUUCAGCGUUACCAGGACAUCGAGAAAGAGUCCAAAUCAGGCAGUGAGCUGCACAGACUCUUGCAGCCAUUUCUCCUAAGGCGAGUGAAAGCUCAGGUGGCCACAGAGCUUCCCAAGAAGACAGAGGUGGUAAUAUACCAUGGCAUGUCAGCACUGCAGAAAAAGUACUACAAGGCCAUCUUGAUGAAAGACCUAGAUGCAUUUGAGAACGAGAUGGCAAAGAAAGUCAAACUCCAGAACAUCCUCGUGCAGCUUCGCAAGUGUGUGGACCACCCGUAUCUGUUUGAUGGUGUGGAGCCGGAGCCCUUUGAAAUUGGAGAGCACCUGAUUGAGGCCAGUGGGAAGCUUCACCUCCUGGACAGGCUGCUGGCAUUUCUGUAUUCCGGGGGCCAUCGGGUUUUACUUUUCUCCCAAAUGACCCAUAUGUUGGAUAUUCUGCAAGACUAUAUGGAUUACAGAGGCUACAGCUACGAGCGCGUGGAUGGCUCUGUGAGAGGAGAAGAGAGACACCUGGCCAUUAAGAACUUCGGGAAACAGCCCAUUUUCGUUUUUCUCCUGAGCACCCGGGCAGGUGGAGUGGGCAUGAACCUAACAGCAGCAGAUACCGUUAUUUUUGUUGACAGUGAUUUUAAUCCUCAGAAUGACUUGCAGGCGGCUGCCAGAGCUCACCGAAUUGGCCAGAACAAGUCUGUUAAAGUCAUCCGGCUGAUCGGCCGAGACACUGUGGAAGAAAUCGUGUAUAGGAGGGCAGCCUCCAAACUGCAGCUUACCAGCACUGUCAUAGAAGGAGGCCAUUUCACCCUAGGAGUGCAGAAACCGUCAGCUGAGGCUGACUUCCAGUUAAGUGAGAUACUCAAAUUCGGCUUGGAUAAGCUGCUGUCCUCUGAAGGGAGCACUGUGGAUGAAAUAGAUCUGGAAUCCAUCCUGGGAGAAACCAAAGAUGGCCAGUGGGCCCUUGACGCUCUGCCUGCAGCAGCAGAAGGAGGAAGCAGAGAACAAGAGGAAGGAAAGAACCAUAUGUACUUAUUUGAAGGGAGAGACUAUUCUAAGGAGCCCAGUAAGGAAGACAGAAAGUCAUUUGAACAGCUGGUGAAUCUUCAGAAAACUCUUCUAGACAAAACGAGUCAUGGAGGCCGGUCCCUCCGAAACAAAGGCAGCGUUCUUGUCCCAGGCCUUGCAGAAGGGCCCACCAAAAGGAAGAAGAUUCUGAGCCCCGAAGAGCUGGAGGACAGACGGAAGAAAAGACAGGAAGCAGCAGCCAAGAGAAAGAGACUAAUGGAGGAGAAGAAGAGGGAAAAGGAGGAGGCUGCACACAGGAAGAAGAUGGCCUGGUGGGAAUCCAACGGUUACCGGUCCUCCUGCCUGCCCUCGGAGGACAGCGAGCUCGAGGACGGUGAGGACGGAUACGAGACUCCUGACGAGCUGGAUUGUGAAGAUCUAGACCCAGCCUCCAUCAAGUACGUGAGCGGUGACGUCACCCACCCCCAGGCCGGCGAAGAGGAUGCUGUCAUCGUGCACUGCGUAGAUGAUUCUGGCCGCUGGGGCAGAGGUGGCCUGUUCACAGCUCUGGAAGCGCGAUCAGCUGAACCAAGAAAAGUAUAUGAGCUGGCUGGGAAGAUGGAAGACUUGAGUUUGGGCGAUGUCCUUUUAUUUCCUAUUGAUGAUAAAGAGUCACGAGACAAAGGGCAAGAUUUGUUGGCCUUGAUUGUGGCUCAACACCGCGAUCGCACCAAUGUCCUGUCUGGCAUUAAGAUGGCAGCCCUAGAAGAGGGCCUGAAGAAGAUAUUUUCAGCAGCAAAGAAAAAGAAAGCAAGUGUUCAUCUUCCACGCAUUGGACAUGCUACAAAGGGUUUUAACUGGUAUGGUACUGAAAGGCUUAUUCGGAAACAUUUGGCCGCAAGAGGCAUCCCAACUUACAUGGAUUGCCCUGUCUGACGGAAAAUAAAACUUGCAUAAUUUGACCAAAGGAUGUUGGUAAUGGUGUUUACGUUUUUUACUUUAGUCUUUGGUUGGAUUAGCAUACCCUCUCUUAGCAGCCAUCAGCUUCCAGUAGCCUCUCAGUUGUGGGUGAGUCCUUAUUAUCCCACUUGGAACUGAACAGUCAACAGUCAUUCUCAACACUUUAACCAGUUAUGUAUCUCUGCAUUAACCACUGCCCACUGUGAAAGGAAGCUUCUCUAACUAAGGCUGAGAGUAGCACAGGUCUGUGGUUAGCAACAUAAGUAUUUAGAAGACAGUUUGACAGCAUGACAAUUUAGCAAAAUAACAACAGUAGGUUCUCCACUGGGCCCUAGGACCUUCCAAACCAUGAGCUUUUGACCAGGCUUACAAUAUCAUGCAUAAUUUCUCUCCUAUGGACCAGUUCUCAUAUCAAUCAGAAAGCAGCUUGGUUACCCCUGUAACCUUGGAUGCCACUAUUACGCCACUGGGAACUUCUUGCUUAGCUAGUUGGUAUUGUUGAAUAUAAGGUCCAGAGCUGAGUAAGACCAUUGGUAUACGUUCUCCUCCCAAGGCCUGUAUAACACCUUUCAGCACUACGUAGCCAAAGUGUGCUGUGUCUCUAGCAAUAAGAUCUAACAAUCUAGUUAUUGCGGGCAGCUAAGACCAAAGGCAAUGGCUUGUUUUGGAGACCUCUGAUGCCUCCCUGGCUAAGAACUCACAGGGAUAUAUAUAUCCCACACCUGGCACUAAAAUUUUAAUUUAAAAAUGCACAUAUGCUGGGAGCAGCACUGUCUACCUAUGCAGGGUAUUUCUGUGUAAACUACACACACACACACACACACACACACACACUACAGUUUUAGUUAACGAACUCCCUGUCCCAUCCUCUCACCUAUUCAUCCUUUGCCCUACUUAAACUCUUAACUCCCACUGUUCUUUGCCUUCUUCUUUCAUAUCACAUGUGUUUAGCCCCUUCUAUUUUUAAGGUAAUCAUUUCCCCCAAUCGUAUUACUUUUAUCUUUUACAGCUUUACAUAUUGUAAUUAUCUACUCACAAUUAUAGGAAAUUUUUAUUACUCAUCUUUAGUGAACCUCUCAUAAGACACCAACUUUUUUCUCAUUUUCACGUUUUAUCAGUUUGAUGUUUUUUGCACGUAAUUCUGGAAGCAGAAGUGCUGGUUCUGUGCCGGCACUCUCGACAGCCAUACUGUUUGCUCACAUUAAAAACUUCCUCACCCAGUUUGUAAAGGCUAAAGCACAGCUGCCUAGAAGUCCUUCUAGACAACCUAUUUGUGAAGUAAAUGUGCACUGUUACAUGCCACCGGAAUUUUUAGUUGCUUGCUAUGAAGCAAAUGUUGACGAACAUAGACGGUGAGGAAACAGCCAUUUCAUCGCAGUAGCGAUAGAUUCUAGAUGUAAUAAAAAUAGAAUAUCUGGUUGGGCAUGAUGGCAUCAAUCUCAGCAUGCAGUUCAGGAUAGAGCAUCAUGAACUAAAAUCCAGACUUUGCUACCUAGUGAAAGACUGCCAGAGAGAGAGAGAGAGAGGAAGAGAAAGAGGGAGGGAGAGAACUAAUAGUGAGCAGAGAGGGAGCAAGAAAAAUAUCUAGUUCUUACAUACAUUCUAUCUUUAUCCCAUCCCAGAAGCAUAAUAUGGUUGGACAUACUUUGCAGUUUGGAGCAUCACCAAUGAAAAAUUGCAUGCGUCAACAGUGCUGCCCUGGAUGGAAAGAGCUCCUGCUCUUAGUACAGAGCACUAAUGCUUGCGGCAGGAUGCAAGAACUGGAGAAGAGCAACCAGAUGAAGCAGAAUCCAUAGCAAAACGUCAAGGACCGUCACCACAUAUUUACAAAAGGAAGCUUCAAAGACACUUCCACUUCAUGAGGAACAAAAGAAAGAUACCUAUUAAUACUACACCUUCUGUGAGUUCAUACUGUCUUGAAGGUUUUGGCUGAUGCAAACGGAAAGAAGAAAAAUUAGAGACAUAAGAAUCACAAAGGCAACAAAAUAAUCUCUUUGUAAAAGGAGAAUCAUUUUUAUGUCUAUUGUGAGACUCAGCAAAGGAAUGUUUGAUAUUGUUAGGUAGCACAGUGCCUGCUUGGAGAAGAACGCUGCAAGCAUGGAUGAAAAAGAUCCCUACAGCUUCAGACUGGAAUUAGAAAUGUCCAAAUGAGUUCGCAGGUUUUAUUAUUAUUAUUAUUAUUAUUAUUAUUAACUUUUUUAGGUUAAUGUACAAAAUAAUGGAUUUUAUUAUGGCAUUGUUAUAUAUCUGUCGUCAUUACCUUGGUCUCCUUUGUUUCCUUUCCCACUUCCCUCCCCCAUGUUCUUUUUCUUCUCCUAGUUACUUCUCCAAUGUGGCCUUUAUUAUGGUUUGCACGAGGAUGGCCACCUUAGGCUCAUAUAUUUGAAUACUUGGUCCCAUUUGGUGGAACUGUUUGGGAAGGGCUAGGAGGUGUGGCCUUGAUGGCAGAGGUGCAUCCCUGGGCUUGAGCUGUGAGGUUCCAAAAGCCCACACCAUUCCCAGGCAGCUCUCCCUGCUUUCUACUGCUGAGUUUUGUAAGACCUCGAUGCUGCUCCAGAGCCAUGACUGCCUAGUAUGUUUUCUACCAUGCUUAUCUUGGACUGAUGCUACACUCCGAGCAAUCUGUUUCUUCUAUAAGUUGCCUUGGUCACGGCAAGUAAGACAGCCCCCUUCUUUUUCCUCAUUGUGUGUGUUCUCUGCCCUAUUCAACAACUGUAAGAUCUCUGCUUCCCUUCUCCUCAUCUCCUUUUUAGUUUCAUGUCUUUCAAACCUAAAAUACAGUUAAUUACACACACAUAAAAUUAAAAAUAUAGGUUCUGGAGAAAGAAAAAAAAUAUGCAGUAUAUACUCAAAUACUUUUGAGUCUGGCUUAUUCAGUGAUUUCCAGAAGCAUCCAUUUUUAUGUAACUGUUAUUAUUUUAUUUUUCUCUAUGUGAAAAUAAAGUUCCAUUGGGCAUGUGAA